rnacentral:rRNA from 1 species
CAGGACGAACGCUGGCCGCGCGCCUAACACAUGCAAGACGAACGGAGCUUAAAGAGCUUGCUUUUUAAGCUUAGUGGCGAACGGGUGAGUAACGCGUGAGUAACCUGCCCUGUACAGGGGGAUAACAGCUGGAAACGGCUGCUAAUACCGCAUAAGCGCACGAGGAGACAUCUCCUAGUGUGAAAAACUCCGGUGGUACAGGAUGGGCCCGCGUCUGAUUAGCUAGUUGGUGAGGUAACGGCCCACCAAGGCGACGAUUGGUAGCCGGACUGAGAGGUUGAACGGCCACAUUGGGACUGAGACACGGCCCAGACUCCUACGGGAGGCAGCAGUGGGGGAUAUUGCACAAUGGGGGAAACCCUGAUGCAGCGACGCCGCGUGGAGGAAGAAGGUUUUCGGAUUGUAAACUCCUGUCGUUAGGGACGAUAAUGACGGUACCUAACAAGAAAGCACCGGCUAACUACGUGCCAGCAGCCGCGGUAAAACGUAGGGUGCAAGCGUUGUCCGGAAUUACUGGGUGUAAAGGGAGCGCAGGCGGACCGGCAAGUUGGAAGUGAAAACUAUGGGCUCAACCCAUAAAUUGCUUUCAAAACUGCUGGCCUUGAGUAGUGCAGAGGUAGGUGGAAUUCCCGGUGUAGCGGUGGAAUGCGUAGAUAUCGGGAGGAACACCAGUGGCGAAGGCGACCUACUGGGCACCAACUGACGCUGAGGCUCGAAAGCAUGGGUAGCAAACAGGAUUAGAUACCCUGGUAGUCCAUGCCGUAAACGAUGAUUACUAGGUGUUGGAGGAUUGACCCCUUCAGUGCCGCAGUUAACACAAUAAGUAAUCCACCUGGGGAGUACGACCGCAAGGUUGAAACUCAAAGGAAUUGACGGGGGCCCGCACAAGCAGUGGAGUAUGUGGUUUAAUUCGAAGCAACGCGAAGAACCUUACCAGGUCUUGACAUCCGAUGCAUAGUGCAGAGAUGCAUGAAGUCCUUCGGGACAUCGAGACAGGUGGUGCAUGGUUGUCGUCAGCUCGUGUCGUGAGAUGUUGGGUUAAGUCCCGCAACGAGCGCAACCCUUAUUGCCAGUUACUACGCAAGAGGACUCUGGCGAGACUGCCGUUGACAAAACGGAGGAAGGUGGGGAUGACGUCAAAUCAUCAUGCCCUUUAUGACCUGGGCUACACACGUACUACAAUGGCGUUUAACAAAGAGAAGCAAGACCGCGAGGUGGAGCAAAACUCAAAAACAACGUCUCAGUUCAGAUUGCAGGCUGCAACUCGCCUGCAUGAAGUCGGAAUUGCUAGUAAUCGCGGAUCAGCAUGCCGCGGUGAAUACGUUCCCGGGCCUUGCACACACCGCCCGUCA